rnacentral:tRNA from 1 species
CCCUGGUUAGCUCAAGUGGUAGAGCUCUCCGCUAGUCUUGCAGAGGUCGCGGGUUCAAUACCCGGACCAGGAG